CCUACGUGUGGCAGCAGUGAGGAAUAUUGGUCAAUGGGCGGGAGCCUGAACCAGCCAAGCCGCGUGAGGGAAGAAGGUACAACGUGUCGUAAACCUCUUUUGUCGGGGAACAAAGCCGGGGACUAGUCCCCGGAUGAGGGUACCCGAAGCAAAAGCAUCGGCUAACUCCGUGCCAGCCGCCGCGGUAAUACGGAGGAUGCGAGCGUUAUCCGGAUUUUUUGGGUUUAAAGGGUGCGCAGGCGGCAACCUAAGCGCAUGGUUUAAGGCAAUGGCUCAACCAUUGUUCGCCGUGCGAACUGGGAUGCUUGAGUGCAGGAGAGGAAAGCGGAAUGCGUAGUGUAGCGGUGAAAUGCGUAGAUAUUAGGAGGAACACCAGUGGCGAAGGCAGCUUUCUGGACUGUAACUGACACUGAGGUACGAAAGCGUGGGGAGCAAACAGGAUUAGAUACCCCGGUAGUC
rnacentral:rRNA from 1 species